AGUGAACGCUGGCGGUAGACCUAACACAUGCAAGUCGAACGGCAGCACAGUAAGAGCUUGCUCUUACGGGUGGCGAGUGGCGGACGGGUGAGGAAUACAUCGGAAUCUACUUUUUCGUGGGGGAUAACGUAGGGAAACUUACGCUAAUACCGCAUACGACCUACGGGUGAAAGCAGGGGAUCUUCGGACCUUGCGCGAUUGAAUGAGCCGAUGUCGGAUUAGCUAGUUGGCGGGGUAAAGGCCCACCAAGGCGACGAUCCGUAGCUGGUCUGAGAGGAUGAUCAGCCACACUGGAACGGAGACACGGUCCAGACUACUACGGGAGGCAGCAGUGGGGAAUAUUGGACAAUGGGGGCAAGCCUGAUCCAGCCAUACCGCGUGGGUGAAGAAGGCCUUCGGGUUGUAAAGCCCUUUUGUGGGGAAAGAAAAGCAGCAGGUUAAUACCCCGCUGUUCUGACGGUACCCAAAGAAUAAGCACCGGCUAACUUCGUG
rnacentral:rRNA from 1 species